rnacentral:lncRNA from 1 species
UUUCUUCCAUGUAUUUCUAGGCCACAGACUCCUCGGCUCAGAUCUGAGCUCGCUAACCUCAUAUCUAAGGUCGAAAAAUUUCAAGACCGUCAGCCUUGUUGUUGGCUCAUAUUCAUACCCGAAAUUUCGUCUGCAUCUUCCUCUCCCUCUUUCAAAGCCCGAAGUCUCUUUCUCUCUCUGUGAACAAAUCUGGUUUUCUCUCUCUAUAUUUCUUCCAUGUAUUUCAAGGUGCAAGUAUUACUUCCUCUCUCUCUCUUUAGAAGUUGGGUCCGGCCGAUCACGUGAAACUUCAUCAUCUUGCACUCUUGCGUUUUCAUUUGGAUCUCCCUCUUUUGCGCCAGCAACUGCUAAGGCUUUAUUUGGAUCCCCUUCUUCUUCUUUGACUACCACCCCAUCGCUUGGUUCUUUGUCUGCUUCAUCUUUGAGUUAUCAAUUUUCCUCUACAUUCCCUGCUUCAAAGUUCCUCUCCCUCACAUUUGUUUUCAUUUACAAGCUCUGGUGAAUCUA